GAUGAACGCUGGCGGCGUGCCUAAUACAUGCCAGUCGAGCGAACAGACGAGGAGCUUGCUCCUCUGACGUUAGCGGCGGACGGGUGAGUAACACGUGGAUAACCUACCUAUAAGACUGGGAUAACUUCGGGAAACCGGAGCUAAUACCGGAUAAUAUAUUAAACCGCAUGGUUCAAUAGUGAAAGACGGUUUUGCUGUCACUUAUAGAUGGAUCCGCGCCGCAUUAUCUAGUUGGUAAGGUAACGGCUUACCAAGGCGACGAUGCGUAGCCGACCUGAGAGGGUGAUCGGCCACACUGGAACUGAGACACGGUCCAGACUCAUACGGGAGGCAGCAGUAGGGAAUCUUCCGCAAUGGGCGAAAGCCUGACGGAGCAACGCCGCGUGAGUGAUGAAGGUCUUCGGAUCGUAAAACUCUGUUAUUAGGGAAGAACAAAUGUGUAAGUAACUAUGCACGUCUUGACGGUACCUAAUCAGAAAGCCACGGCUAACUACGUG
rnacentral:rRNA from 1 species